rnacentral:tRNA from 1 species
GGCAGUGUGGCCUAGUGGAUAGAGCAAGGUCCUGGGAGUCAGAAGGACCUGGGUUCUAAUCCCAGCUCUGCCA